ACCGCCCGAAGGCCGGGGCGCCUAGUUCGUCCAGCGGAAAAAGGCCACAAAAACGGGUGGGCUAUAGCCUUGGGGGGUGGGGCUGGCCCACUUCGUCCGCCCGACUCGGAAUGCCGUGAGACUUUGCGAGGGCACUCCGUGCGCCAAAAAUAAGCCGCGGGCAAGGCCGCGACCAAAAAUAACAUCCCGAAGGCCGGGGCGCCAAGUUUUUCCAGCGGAAAAAGGCCACAAAAACGGGUGGGCUAUAGCCUUGGGGGGUGGGGCUGCUAACUUCGUCCGCCGGACUCGGAAUGCCGCGAGACUUUGCGAGGCGCUUCCGUGUGCCAAAAAUAGGCCGCGGACAAAGUCACGCCCAAAAAUAACCGCCCGACGGCCGGGGCGUCAAGUUCGUCCCGCGGGAAAAGGCCACAAAAACGGGUGGGCUAUAGCCUUGGGGGGUGGGGCUGGCCGACUUCGUCCGCCAGACUCGGAAUGCCACGAGACUUUGCGAGGGGCCUCCAUGUGCCAAAAAUAGGCCGCAGGCAAAGUCGCGCCCAAAAAUAACCGCCCGAAGGCCGGGGCGCCAGGUUCGUCCAGCGGAAAAAGGCCACAAAAACGGGUGGGCUAUAGCCUUGGGGGGUGGGGCUGGCCAACUUCGUCCGCCGGACACGGAAUGUGUCGAGCCCUUGCGAGGGGCCUCUGUGUGCCAAAAAUAGGCCAUAGGCAAAGCCGCGCUCAAAAAUAACCGCCCGAAGGCCGGGGCGCCAAAUUCGUCCAGCGGAAAAAGGCCACAAAAACGGGUGGGCUAUAGCCUUGGGGGGUGGGGCUAUCCAUCUUCGUCCGCCGGACACGGAAUGCGGCGAGACUUUGCGAGAGGCCUCCGUGUGACAAAAAUAGGCUGCGGGCAAAGCCGCGCCCAAAAAUAACCGCCCGAAGGCCGGGGCGCCAAGUUCGUCCUGCGGAAAAAGGCCACAAAAGCGGGUGGGGUAUAGCCUUGGGGGUGGGGCUGGCCAACUUCGUCCGCCGGACUCGGAAUUGCGCGAGACUUUGUGAGGGACCUCCGUGUGCCAAAAAUAGUCCAAGGGCAAAACCGCGCACAAAAAUAACCGCCGAAGGCCGGGGCGCCAAGUUCGUCCAGCGGAAAAAGGCCACAAAAACGGGUGGGCUAUAGCCUUGGGGGGUGGGGCUGGCCAAGUUCGUCCGCCGGACUCGGAAUGCUGCGAGACUUUGCUAGGGGCCUCCGUGUGCCAAAAAUACGCCGCGGAAAAAGCCGCGCCCAAAAAUAACCGCCCGAAGGCCGGGCGCCAAGUUCGUCCAGCGGAAAAAGGCCACAAAAACGGAUGGGCUAAAGCCUCGGGAGGUGGGGCUGGCCAACUUCGUCCGCCGGACUCGGAAUGCCGCGAGACUUUGCGAGGGGCCUCGGUGUGCCAAAAAUAGGCCGCGGACCAAGCUGCGCCCAAAAAUAACCACCCGAAGGCCGGGCGCCAAGUUCGUCCAGCGGAAAAAGGCCACAAAAACGGGUGGGCUAUAGCCUUGGGGGGUGGGGCUGGCCCACUUCAUCCGCCGGACUCGGAAUGCCGCGAGACUUUGCGAGGGGCCUCGGUGUGCCAAAAAUAGGCCGCGGGCCAAGCUGCGACCAAAAAUAACCACCCGAAGGCCGGGCGCCAAGUUCGUCCAGCGGAAAAAGGCCACAAAAACGGGUGGGCUAUAGCCUUGGGGGGUGGGGCUGGCCCACUUCGUCCGCCGGACUCGGAAUGCCGCGAGACUUUUCGAGGGGCCUCCGUGUGCCAAAAAUAGGCCACGGGCCCAGCCGCACACAAAAAUAACCGCCCGAAGGCCGGGGCGCCAAGUUCGUCCAGCGGAAAAAGGCCACAAAAACGGGUGGGCUAUAGCCUUGGGGGGUGGGGCUGGCCAACUUCGUCCGCCGGACUCGGAAUGGCGCGAGACUUUGCGAGGCACCUCCGUGUGCCAAAAAUAGGCCGUGGGAACAGCCGCGCUCAAAAAUAACCGCCCGAAGGCCGGGGCGCCAAGUUCGUCCAGCGGAAAAAGGUCACAAAAACGGGUGGGCUAUAGCGUUGGGGGGUGGGGCUGGCCAACUUCGUCCGCCGGACUCGGAAUGCCGUGAGACUUUGCGAGGGGUCUCCUUGUACCAAAAAUAGGCCGCAGGCAAAGCCACGCCCAAAAAUAACCGCCCGAAGGCUGGGGCGCCAAGUUCGUCCAGAGGAAAAAGGCCACAAAAACGGGUGGGCUAUAGCCUUGGGGGGUGGGGCUGGCCAACUUCGUCCGCCGGACUGGGGAUGGCGAGAGACCUUGCGAGGUGCCUCCGUGUACCAAAAAUAGGCCGCAGGCACAGCAGUGCUCAAAAAUACCCGCCCGAAAGGCGGGGCGCCAAGUUCGUCUAGCGGAAAAAGGCCACAAAAACGGGUGGGCUAUAGCCUUGGGGGGUGGGGCUGGCCAACUUCGUCCGCCGGACACGGAAUGCCGCGAGACUUUGCAAGGCACCUCCGUGUGCUAAAAAUAGGCCGCGGGCACAGCCACGUCUAAAAAUAACCACCCGAAGGCCGGGGCGCCAAGUUCGUCAAGCGGAAAAGGCCACAAAAACGGUUGGGCUAUAGCCUUGGGGGGUGGGGCUGGCCCACUUUGUCCGCCGGACUCGGAAUGGCGCGAGACUUUGCGAGGCACCUCCGUGUGCCAAAAAUAGGCCGCGGGUACAGUCACGCCCAAAAAUAAACUCCCGAAGGCCGGGGCGCCAAGUUCGUCCAGCGGAAAAAGGCCACAAAAACGGGUGGGCUAUAUCCUUGGGGGGUGGGGCUGGCCAACUUCGUCCGCCGGACUCGGAAUGCCGCGAGACUUUGCGAGGGGCCUCCAUGUGCCAAAAAUACGCCGCGGGUGAAGCCGUGCCCAAAAAAUAACCGCCCAAAGGCUGGGGGGCCAAGUUCGUCCAGAGGAAAAAGGCCACAAAAACGGGUGGGCUAUAGCCUUGGGGGGUGGGGCUGGCCAACUUCGUCCGCCGGACUCGGAAUGCCGCGAGACUUUGCGAGGGGCCACCACGUGCCAAAAAUACACCGUGGGUAAAGCCGUGCCCAAAAAAUAACCGCCCGAAGGCUGGGGGGCCAAGUUCGUCCAGAGGAAAAAGGCCACAAAAACGGGUGGGCUAUAGCCUUGGGGGGUGGGGCUGGCCAACUUCGUCCGCCGGACUCGGAAUGCCGUGAGACUUAGCGAGGGGCCUCCGUGUGCCAAAAAUAGGCCGCGGGCAAAGCCGUGCCCAAAAAAUAACAGCCCGAAGGCUGGGGCGCCAAGUUCAUCCAGCGGAAAAAGGCCACAAAAACGGGUGGGCUAUAGCCUUGGGAGGUGGGGCUGGCCAAUUUCGUCCGCCGGACUCGGAAUGCCGCGAGACUUUGCGAGGGGCCUCCGUGUGCCAAAAAUAAGCUACGGGCAAAGCCGCGGCAAAAAUAACCGCCCGAAGGCUGGGGCGCCAAGUUCGUCCAGCGGAAAAAGGCCACAAAAACGGGUGGGCUAUAGCCUCGGGGGGUGGGGAUGGCCUACUUCGUCCGCCGGACUCGGAAUGCUGUGAGACUUUUCGAGGGGCCUGCGUGUGCAAAAAAUAGGCCGCGGUCAAAGCCGCGCCCAAAAAUAACUGCCCGAAGGCCGGGGCGCCAAGUUCGUCCAGCGGAAAAAGACCACAAAAACGGGUGGGCUAUAGCCUUGGGGGGUGGGGCUGGCCAACUUCGUCCGCCGGACUCGGAAUGCCGCGAGACUUUGCAAGGCAUCUCCGUGUGCCAAAAAUAGGCCGCGGGCACAGCCACGCCUAAAAAUAACCACCCGAAGGCCGGGGCGCCAAGUUCGUCAAGCGGAAAAAGGCCACAAAAACGGUUGGGCUAUAGCCUUGGGGGGUGGGGCUGGCCCACUUUGUCCGCCGGACUCGGAAUGGCGCGAGACUUUGCGAGGCGCCUCCGUGUGCCAAAAAUAGGCUGCGGGUAGAGUCACGCCCAAAAAUAACCGCCCGAAGGCCGGGGCGGCAAGUUCGUCCAACGGAAAAAGGCCACAAUAACGGGUGGGCUAUAGCCUUGGGGGGUGGGGCUGGCCAACUUCGUCCGCCGGACUCGGAAUGGCGCGAGGCCUUGUGAGGCUCCUCCGUGUGCCAAAAAUAGGCCGCGGGCAAAGCUGCGCCGAAAAAUAACCGCCCGAAGGCCGGGGCGCCACGUUCGUCCAGCGGAAAAAGGCCACAAAAACGGACGGGCUAUAGCCUUGGGGGGUGGGGCUGGCCCACUUCGUCCGCCGGACUCGGAAUGCCGCGAGACUUUGCGAGGGGCCUCCGUGCACUAAAAACAGGCCACGGGCAAAGCCACGCCCAAAAAUAACCGCCCGGAGGCCGGGGCGCCAAGUUCGUCCAGCGGAAAAAGCCCACAAAAACGGGUGGGCUAUAGCCUUGGGGGGUGGGGCUCGCCAACUUCGUCCGCCGGACUCGGAAUGCCGCGAGACUUUGUAAGGGGCGUCCGUGUGCCAAAAAUAGGCUGCGGUCAAAGCCGCGCCGAAAAAUAACGGCCCGAAGGCUGGGGCGCCAAGUUCGUCGAGCGGAAAAAGGCCACAAAAACGGGUGGGCUAUAGCCUUGGGGGGUGGGGCUGGCCAGCUUCGUCCGCCGCACUCGGAAUACCGCAAGACUUUGUGAGGGGCCUCCGUGUGCCAAAAAUAGGCCGCGGUUAAAGCCGUGCCCAAAAAUAACUGCCCGAAGGCCGGGGCGCCAAGUUCGUCCAGCGGAAAAAGACCACAAAAACGGGUGGGCUAUAGCCUUGGGGGGUGGGGCUGGCCAAGUUCGUCCGCCGGACUCGGAAUGCUGCGAGACUUUGCGAGGGGCCUCCGUGUGCCAAAAAUACGCCGCGGACAAAGGCGCGCCCAAAAAUAACCGCCCGAAGGCCGGGCGCCAAGUUCGUCCAGCGGAAAAAGGCCACAAAAACGGGUGGGCUAUAGCCUUGGGGGGUGGGGCUGGCCCACUUCGUCCGCCGGACUCGGAAUGUCGCGAGACUUUGUGAGGGGCCUCCGUGUGCCAAAAAUAGGCCGCGGGCAAAGGCGCGCCCAAAAAUAACCGCCCGGAGGCCGGGGCGCCAAGUUCGUCCAGCGGAAAAAGGCCACAAAAACGGUUGGGCUAUAGCCUUGGGGGGUGGGGCUGGCCCACUUCGUCCGCCGGACUCGGAAUGCCGCGAGACUUUUCGAGGGGCCUCCGUGUGCCAAAAAUAGGCCACGGGCCCAGCCGCACACAAAAAUAACCGCCCGAAGGCCGGGGCGCCAAGUUCGUCCAGCGGAAAAAGGCCACAAAAACGGGUGGGCUAUAGCCUUGGGGGGUGGGGCUGGCCAACUUCGUCCGCCGGACUCGGAAUGGCGCGAGACUUUGCGAGGCACCUCCGUGUACC
rnacentral:lncRNA from 1 species